AAUCACAGGGCUAAGAUAUAUUUUAUUAGUCCCUGUUAUAGUCCAGGAAUGGGUAGGCAACCCUGGUGGGUUGGAUUUAGCCAAUCACAGGGCUAAGAUAUAUUUUAUUAGUCCCUGUUAUAGUCCAGGAAUGGGUAGGCAACCCUGGUGGGUUGGAUUUAGCCAAUCACAGGGCUAAGAUAUAUUUUAUUAGUCCCUGUUAUAGUCCAGGAAUGGGUAGGCAACCCUGGUGGGUUGGAUUUAGCCAAUCACAGGGCUAAGAUAUAUUUUAUUAGUCCCUGUUAUAGUCCAGGAAUGGGUAGGCAACCCUGGUGGGUUGGAUUUAGCCAAUCACAGGGCUAAGAUAUAUUUUAUUAGUCCCUGUUAUAGUCCAGGAACAGGGUUACCUUCCCCUCUUAUAUGUACAGAAGAGAAUGUGAGGUAUAAAAAUAAUAUAUAAAAUAAUACCAGUUUUAUUUUUUAUAUUUUUCAUCCUGUAAAUAAAAAUCCUUUAUUUUAAUUCUUUACGAUACUAUUGUCCUGUGACACCAAAAGUCUGAAUGUGAUUUAAUAGUGGGGCGGCAGGUAGUCUGGUGGUUAGAGGAGGGAGGUAGUCUAGUGGUUAGAGGAGACAGGUAGCCUAGUGGUUAGAGGAGGCAGGUAGCCUAGUGGUUAGAGGAGACAGGUAGCCUAGUGGUUAGAGGAGGCAGGUAGCCUAGUGGUUAGAGGAGGCAGGUAGCCUAGUGGUUAGAGGAGGCAGGUAGCCUAGUGGUUAGAGGAGGCAGGUAGCCUAGUGGUUAGAGGAGGCAGGUAGCCUGGUGGUUAGAGGAGGCAGGUAGCCUGGUGGUUAGAGGAGGCAGGUAGCCUAGUGGUUAGAGGAGACAGGUAGCCUGGUGGUUAGAGGAGGCAGGUAGCCUAGUGGUUAGAGGAGGCAGGUAGCCUAGUGGUUAGAGGAGGCAGGUAGCCUGGUGGUUAGAGGAGGCAGGUAGCCUAGUGGUUAGAGGAGGCAGGUAGCCUGGUGGUUAGAGGAGGCAGGUAGCCUGGUGGUUAGAGGAGGCAGGUAGCCUGGUGGUUAGAGGAGGCAGGUAGCCUGGUGGUUAGAGGAGGCAGGUAGCCUAGUGGUUAGAGGAGGCAGGUAGCCUGGUGGUUAGAGGAGGCAGGUAGCCUGGUGGUUAGAGGAGACAGGUAGCCUGGUGGUUAGAGGAGGCAGGUAGCCUGGUGGUUAGAGGAGGCAGGUAGCCUGGUGGUUAGAGGAGGCAGGUAGCCUGGUGGUUAGAGGAGGCAGGUAGCCUGGUGGUUAGAGGAGGCAGGUAGCCUAGUGGUUAGAGGAGGCAGGUAGCCUGGUGGUUAGAGGAGGCAGGUAGCCUAGUGGUUAGAGGAGGCAGGUAGCCUAGUGGUUAGAGGAGGCAGGUAGCCUAGUGGUUAGAGGAGGCAGGUAGCCUAGUGGUUAGAGGAGGCAGGUAGCCUAGUGGUUAGAGGAGGCAGGUAGCCUAGUGGUUAGAGGAGGCAGGUAGCCUAGUGGUUAGAGGAGGCAGGUAGCCUGGUGGUUAGAGCGUUGGACGAGAAAUCGAAAGGUUGCAAAAUCAAAUCCCCGAGCUGACAAGGUAAAAACCUGUCAUUCUGCCCCUGAACAAGGCAGUUAACCCACUGUUCCUAGGCCGACAUUGUAAAUAAGAAUUUGUUCUUAACUGACUCGCCUGGUUAAAUAAAAAGGUACAAAUAAAUAAAUAUGAAU